UUUUCCUUAAAAAACAACAGAAUAGUAUUUGCUUUAAGUUUUUUUUUUGAGAUUUUUCUCUUCGACUUCGAAAUUUCAUUCAUUCCAGAAUAUCAAACAAACAGUACGAAAGAAACCAAAUAAAAGCGCUUUGUAAAUUUCAGCAAAUUUGUAUCACUCGAGUUCUAUCUAUUUAUAAUAACGGAAAUUUUCUUCACUGGAGAAGUAACCAUCUUUUGAGGGUUUUUUGAGAUGCACCGUGUAGCCAGUGCUGGGGGCGUAUCUGGUUCAUCCCGUCCUCGAAAGGAGAAGAAGUUAACAUAUGUGCUCAAUGAUGCUGAUGACUCAAAGCAUUGUGCAGGUGUAAAUUGUGUGGCUGUUUUAAAAUCGGCAGUACGGGAUAGCUGCGACUACUUAUUUACCGGAAGCAGAGAUGGGACUCUAAAGAGGUGGGCAUUAGGCGAGGACGAUGCUACCUGCUCUGCCACAUUCGAGUCGCAUGUUGAUUGGGUAAAUGAUGCGGUUCUUGCAGGCAACAACACACUAAUUUCAUGCUCUUCAGACACCACACUCAAGGCAUGGAAUUGCUUAUUUGAUGGGACUUGCACAAGAACUCUCCGUCAGCACUCGGAUUAUGUUACAUGUCUUGCUGCAGCUGAAGAAAAUAGCAAUGUUAUUGCCUCUGGUGGACUUGGUGGAGAAGUAUUUGUUUGGGAUCUCGAAGCUGCUCUUUAUCCAGUAUCAAAGCCAACGGAAGCAGUGGAAGACGAAAAUUCAAAUGGCAUAGUUGGCUCUGGAAACUCCGGCAUGCCUAUGACAAGUUUACGGUCGAUUGGUUCAAGCAGCAGCAUUUCCAUGCACCCAAGCCAGUCUCAUGGAUAUAGUCCUAUUGCUGCAAAAGGGCAUAAAGAGUCUGUCUAUGCAUUGGCAAUGAAUGAUAGCGGGACUUUGCUAGUUUCUGGUGGAACUGAGAAGGUGGUUCGCGUUUGGGAUCCAAGAACUGGUACGAAGACUCUGAAGCUAAGAGGGCAUACUGAUAACAUUAGGGCACUUCUUCUGGACUCUACUGGGAGGUUUUGCUUAUCAGGAUCCGCAGAUUCAAUGAUUAGACUAUGGGAUCUUGGUCAACAACGUUGUGUGCAUUCCUAUGCUGUGCAUACAGACUCAGUUUGGGCACUCGCCAGCACUCCAACAUUCAGCCAUGUCUAUAGUGGCGGGAGGGACCUCUCUGUGUACCUAACAGACUUGGGCACUAGAGAGAGUGUUUUGCUUUGCACGAAGGAGCAUCCUAUCUCACAGCUUGCGCUGCAUGAUGAUAGCAUAUGGGUUGCAACAACAGAUUCUUCUGUACACAAGUGGCCAGCUGAAGGUAGAACCCCUCAAAAAGUUUUUGAAAGAGGUGGUUCAUUCUUGGCUGGGAACUUGUCCUUUACCAGAGCAAGGGCAAGCUUAGAAGGAUCAACUCCUGUUCCUGUUUAUAAAGAACCCUCUUUUACUAUUCCUGGAACUCCAGGCGUAGUGCAGCAUGAAAUUUUGAACAACAGAAGGCAGGUUCUAACAAAGGAUACUGCUGGAUCAGUGAAGUUAUGGGAGAUUACAAGGGGCGUUGUGGUUGAGGAUUAUGGCCAGGUUUCAUUUGACGAGAAAAAGGAGGAACUUUUUGAGAGGGUUAGCAUUCCUGCAUGGUUCACCACAGAUACGAGGCUUGGAAGUUUGUCUAUCCAUUUGGAGACCCCACAAUGUUUUUCUGCAGAGAUGUAUUCUGUUGAUCUUAACACAGUUGGGGUUCCUGAGGAUCACAAGAUCAAUCUAGCCGAGGAGACCUUAAAGGGUUUGUUUGCUCACUGGUUGACAAAAAGAAAGCAGAAGUCUGGUCCGCAAGCUUCGGUAAAUGGCGAAAUUCCUUUGGGGAAGGAUUUACCUGUCAGAAGCCAUUCUCACUCGAGAGUCGAGCUUGAAGAUAAACCUGAUAGUCACAGCUCUGCUGUUCAUCCUGCAUUCGAGUUUUCAACAGUUUCACCACCAUCUAUCAUCACCGAGGGUUCUCAUGGAGGUCCAUGGAGAAAGAAAAUUACUGACCUGGAUGGCACAGAAGAUGACAAGGAAAUUCCAUGGUGGUGUUUAGACUGCAUUUUGAAUAAAAAGAUCCCUCACAAGGAUAAUACCAAGUGCAGCUUUUAUUUGCAUCCAUGUGAAGGUUCAACUGUCCAAGUGCUCACACAAGGGAAGUUGAGUGCACCGAGAAUAUUGCGCAUUCACAAAGUCAUUAAUUAUGUGGUAGAAAAAAUGGUUCUUGACAAACCACUAGAUGGUGUGACCUCUGAUGCACCAUUUGCCGCCGGAGGUUCACUUUCAACUAUUGUGGGGGACAGCAGCUUCCGAACAGGCUUGAAGCCACUGCAAAAACUUAAGCCCAACAUAGAGAUUUUGUGUAAUAAUCAGGUUUUAACUCCAGAAAUGAGUUUAGCCACAGUUCGAGCUUAUAUAUGGAAGAAAGCUGAUGACUUGAUCCUUAACUACAGAGUGGUGCAAAGUAGAUAAAUUUUUAGCACAGCCGGGUGAUGAUCAUGGUGAGAUUGGAGUAGUUGGACAAUGAUGGUGUUUUAGGCAAUCAGGCAAUGAUGAAAUCGUAGUUCCUGUAGAUUUUACAGUAGCAGCAUCAGUUGGCAACUUGUUUUCUUGUCCUCUGUUAUCGUGGCAAUCAGGAACAAAAGCAUACCAUUAUUGGCAAGACUAAAAUAUUGUUUGCAGGAGCUUUAUAAGCAAGACACUGAAGGCAUUUUAGGGUUUGUAAAGAGGACAAAAGAAGGCAUUGGCAGAGGUAACAGAGCUUCGACUGUCCUUGAGAAGGGAGAUGUCUUAUUGAGGAUAAUGCCGAAAAGCAAUAUAGAUUUUACAUCAGUUGGAUUGGUAAUAAAACUUUUACUAACACAAAAUGAGGAAAAAAAAAACUGUUAUGGGGAUAAUGAAAGUUGACCUUGUGGGAAAUAAAACAGCUUCCAUUGGUGUUGAUUGUUAACCAGACUUUCAAUAUAAUUAUUUAUCUUAAAUUUUAGUUCCACGGUAGUUCUGUCCUCUGAAGAGUGUUACUAGCUGCUCUGCAUAUAGUUAUACUUUGGUAUUGUGUACACCUAACAAAUGUUUAUGCAUUGGAGAUUGUAUCUUAAUCUUUGUAAUUGAGUGAUUAGGUAAAGACAAUGAAUAUCACUUUCAAAGAUUAAUAUCUGGUGGUCA